CUAAACUUCUGAAUGUUCCAAUGAGCACUGUUGGGGCCAUAAUCUGAAAGUGGAAAGAUCAUAAUUUCACCAUAAACUGGUCACAACAAGGUGCUCCUCGCAAGAUUUAUGACAGAGGAGUGAAAAGAAUUAUCAGAAGAACUGUCUGAUAGCCUGA